rnacentral:rRNA from 1 species
UACGUAGGGUGCAAGCGUUGUCCGGAAUUAUUGGGCGUAAAGAGCUCGUAGGCGGCUUGUCGCGUCGGAUGUGAAAGCCCGGGGCUUAACUCCGGGUCUGCAUUCGAUACGGGCAGGCUAGAGUUCGGUAGGGGAGAUCGGAAUUCCUGGUGUAGCGGCGAAAUGCGCAGAUAUCAGGAGGAACACCGGUGGCGAAGGCGGAUCUCUGGGCCGAUACUGACGCUGAGGAGCGAAAGCGUGGGGGGCGAACAGG